rnacentral:rRNA from 1 species
UAAUACGAGGGGGGCAAAUGUUGUUCGGAAUCACUGGGCGUAAAGGGAGCGUAGGCGGGCUUCUAAGUUGGAUGUUUAAACCCGGGGCCCAACCCCGGAUCGGCAUCCAAAACUGGAAGUCUUGAAUAGUGGAGAGGACGGCGGAAUUGGGGGUGUAGCGGUGGAAUGCGUAGAGAUCCCCAAGAACACCAGUUGCGAAGGCGGCCGUCUGGACACAUAUUGACGCUGAGGCUCGAAAGCAUGGGGAGCAAACAGGAUUAGAUACCCUGGUAGUCCAUGCUAUAAACGAUGAAUACUAGGUUUUGGGCCCGUCAACGGUCCAGAGCCGCAGCUAACGCGUUAAGUAUUCCGCCUGGGGAGUACGCUCGCAAGAGUG